UACUGGUAAGGAAGACGGGGAGGGAGGCGAAUGGUUGGUUUCCUCGCUGGGUAACUGCGUUGAGAACAGGGUAGAAAAUUUCCUCUGCUGUUCGAGUGGAAACUACCACUAGAUACGUGGGAGGACAACAGCCUGCCUACCUAUUCAUAUCACUACUGAAGCCUACUAAACAGGAACCAUUGGAAUGACUGGAGAACAGGUCGGAAUGUGGUUCAGUAAAGGAAUAUGAACUACUGAAAACAUAGGGAUGAACAAGGAUCCUAUGUAGUACAACGUGUAUUACAAAAUAUGAAUAAAAUAAUUGCAGAUUGU